AAUUUAAGCAUAUCAAUAAGCGGAGGAAAAGAAACUAACAAGGAUUCCCUCAGUAACGGCGAGUGAACCGGGAUGAGCCCAGCGCCGAAUCCCUCACCCCGAAACGGUGACGGGAACUGUGGCGUUUAGGACGCGCUCUGUNGUCGGGUCCGCUGCGUCCGAGUCCUCCUGAUCGGGGCCCCAUCCCAUAGCGGGUGUCAGGCCUCUACGGCGCGGGAACCGGCGGCUCUGAGCGUCCUGGGAGUCGGGUUGUUUGGGAUUGCAGCCCAAAGUGGGUGGUAAACUCCAUCUAAGGCUAAACACUUGCACGAGACCGAUAGCAAACAAGUACGUUGACGGAAAGCUGAAAAGAACUUUGAAGAGAGAGUUCAGUCAUAGCUGUUUNCUG
rnacentral:rRNA from 1 species